GUGGGGAAUCUUGCGCAAUGGGCGAAAGCCUGACGCAGCCAUGCCGCGUGAAUGGUGAAGGUCUUAGGAUUGUAAAAUUCUUUCACCGGGGACGAUAAUGACGGUACCCGGAGAAGAAGCUCCGGCUAACUUCGUGCCAGCAGCCGCGGUAAUACGAAGGGGGCUAGCGUUGCUCGGAAUUACUGGGCGUAAAGGGCGCGUAGGCGGAUCGUUAAGUCAGGGGUGAAAUCCCAGAGCUCAACUCUGGAACUGCCCUUGAUACUGGCGAUCUUGAGUGUGAGAGAGGUAUGUGGAACUCCGAGUGUAGAGGUGAAAUUCGUAGAUAUUCGGAAGAACACCAGUGGCGAAGGCGACAUACUGGCUCAUUACUGACGCUGAGGCGCGAAAGCGUGGGGAGCAAACAGGAUUAGAAACCCUUGUAGUCC
rnacentral:rRNA from 1 species